rnacentral:lncRNA from 1 species
UAUCAGCUGGCUGGCAGAUAGGAAUUUGCAUACUGGCUGUCGUGUGUGUGUGUGUGUGUGUGUGUGUGUGUGUGUGUGUGUGUGUGUGUGUGUGUGUGUGUGUGUGUGUGUGUGUGUGUGUGUGUGUGUGUGUGUGUGGUGCGCACGUGUGUGUGUGUGUGUGUGGUGACUGUCAUAAGCAAUAAGAACAGCUGCAAAGCCUCACAAUGGAUCUCAAACCCAUUCUCCAUGUCUGUCCGCCUCCAUGAAGACACACCUAUUAGACUUUGUAAACAGCCACGUGAUCGUUGAGUGUUAAACUCCAGAAGACCGUACUAGCUACAGUAGUUGGGGACAGGGAGAGAAUAGUGCCAUUGUAAUAAAACAACUAUGAAGCCAUGUUUGCAUGAGUCAAUGCAGGAGAUGAGCUUUCUAGAGGAGAACAUGAGGUGAGCGUUCUAGAGGAGAACAUGAGGUGAGCGUUCUAGAGUAGAACAUGAGGUGAGCGUUCUAGAGGAGAACAUGAGGUGAGCGCUCUAGAGGAGAGCAGGAGCUGGGAGUUCUAGAGGAGAACAGGAGCUGGGAGUUCUAGAGGAGAACAGGAGCUGGGAGUUCUAGAGGAGAACAGGAGCUGGGAGUUCUAGAGGAGAACAGGAGGUGGGAGUUCUAGAGGAGAACAUGAGGUGGGAGUUCUAGAGGAGAGCAGGAGGUGAGAGUUCUAGAGGAGAGCAGGAGGUGAGAGUUCUAGAGGAGAACAGGAGCUGGGAGUUCUAGAGGAGAACAGGAGGUGAGAGUUCUAGAGGAGAACAUGAGGUGAGAGUUCUAGUGGGGGGCAGGAGGUGAGAGUUCUAGAGGAGAGCAGGAGGUGAGAAUUCUAGAGAAGAGCAGGAGGUGAGAGUUCUAGAGGAGACAAGACAAUAAAGAGAGAGAUGAGGGGAUGGUAAAGAAAAUAUACCACUUUGGAAUAAGACAGUGAAAUAUAUUCAAAGGGGUAAUGAAUCAGUAGUUCUAAAAAGAUUCACAGGCAGCUGAUGUAAUUGCAUCAAGCAAAUUAUUUCAGACCAUAUUCAGUGCACUGUAAAUGCGCUUCAGGAAUCUCACCCUGUAAUUUUAUAUAGAAAAGUUGCAUUCUAUACUGCACUUUAAAGAGUUUAGAAUUACAGUACUUUAAUCUAACAAACAGAACAAGCUGUCUUUUUCUCACUCUAGUUAUUCUCUACAGGGGCGCCGGUCUAACAAGCAGUCAGAAGCCUGACAUUCCUACAAAGGAAAUAAUGAGUCUGAGUUUGACAUUAAUGUGUUCUAGAACGCAGCUCUGAUUAUCACCUGUUGUUCUGGUCCUAUUCUUCUGGUCUACAGUGUUCUGUUCUGUUAUGUUCUGUCAGGGAGGGAGCUGGUGGGUGGCAUGGAUAUAAUCACUUGGUUUCAACUUUCUUUCUUUCCUUUCUUUUUUAAAAUAUCUUUCUCUCUCUCCCUCCUCUCCAUCUCCCCCUCUCUCAUUCUCUCUCUCUCUCUCUCUCUCUCUCUCUCUCUCUCUCUCUCUCUCUCUCUCUCUCUCUCUCUCUCUCUCUCUCUCUCUCUCUCUCUCUCUCACUCCCUAUUUCAAUCCCUUGCUCCUUUAAUUUAAAUCUAUCUUUCUUGUUCUCUGAUUAUGGCCCUUUCACUAAACGCCCCCGGUAUGGCCCGGCUCACCAGGCUCCAGCCCCAACGGGGAAAUAACGAUGUUUUAACAAACGGAUAAGGCUCAGAUCGCCCUUGGACGCUUCCGGCCAUUUAAUAUCUCACAGAGUACAAAGAGCAGGAGACAAAAGGUGAGAGUGAGAGUGAAAGAGAGAGAGCGAGAGAGAGAGAGAGACAGAAAGGGAGGGAGGGAGAAGGAGAGAGAGAGACAGACAGAGAGGGAGGGAAGGAGGGAGGAGAGGGAGAGAGACACCAGGCUUUUUUCCCCAAAAAGUUGUUUGCAAUAUCAUUAAUUUCUCUAAAAGAGGGAGAGAGAGAGAGCAAUAGAGAGAUAGAAAAGAGAGAUAGAGAGAGAUCUCCAAAGGACAGACUCAUUCAUGUGCAUAUGACAUUAUUCCUCUAGAGCCCCAUCACUAAUCCUCUAGAGCCCCAUCACUAUUCCUCUAGGGCCCCAUCCCUAUUCAUCUAGGGCCCCAUCACUCUUUCUCUAGAGCCCCCAUCACUAUUCCUCUAGAGCCCCCAUCACUAAUCCUCUUGAGCCCCCAUCACUAUUCCUCUAGAGCCCCAUCACUAUUCAUCUAGGGCCCCAUCACUCUUUCUCUAGAGCCCCCAUCACUAUUCCUCUAGAGCCCCCAUCACUAUUCCUCUUGAGCCCCCAUCACUAUUCCUCUAGAGCCCCAUCACUAAUCCUCUAGAGCCCCAUCAUUAUUCCUCUAGUGCCCCCAUCACUAUUCCUCUAGAGCCCCCAUCACUAUUCCUCUAGAGCCCCAUCACUCUUUCUCUAGAGCCCCCAUUACUAAUCCUCUAGAGCCCCAUCACUAUUCCUCUAGAGCCCCCAUCACUAUUCCUCUAGAGCCCCAUCACUCUUUCUCUAGAGCCCCCAUUACUAAUCCUCUAGAGCCCCAUCACUAUUCCUCUAGAGCCCCCAUCACUAUUCCUCUAGAGCCCCAUCACUAAUAUUCUAGAGCCCCAUCACUAUUCCUCUAGAGCCCCAUCACUAUUCCUCUAGAGCCCCAUCACUAUUCUUCUAGUGCCCCAUCACUUUUCCUCUAGAGCCCAUCACCAUUUCUCUCAAUCAUUCUUCCACAUCCUCUUUUUGUCUCUCUCUUACUCCAGUGUAUCCCUUUCUCUUCCGAUCAUUGCUGAACCAUCACCUCUCUCUCUCUUUGUCUCUCUCUCUCUCUCCCUCCCUCUCACCACCUCCUUUUUAUUAUCCUCUCUAUCCCUAAGUCUCUCUCUCCCUACCUCUCACCCCCCUCUUUAUUAACCUCUCUAUCCCUUUAUUCUGUUAGUGUAAACACCUUAGGUGACUCUCUGUUCAUAUUUCAACUUAACCUUAAUGUAACAAGUACUUUUGGGUGUCAGGGAAAAUGUGUGGAGAAAAAAUAGCAUUACUUGCUUUAGGAAUGUAGUGAAGUAAAAGUAAAGUACAGAUAACCCCAAAAACGACUUUAGUAGCAAAAGUGUUUAUACGUAAGUUAAUUACACCACUGACCAUAGGCUACAGUAUGUAGAUUAAAGACAGAGAGGACUAGUUAAGCGUACUUCUGAGACCCUCAGGUUCUCUUGUCUCCCUACGGACCUAGCUCUCCCUUCCUCUCCUUCUCCCUCUCCAUCCAGUUCUCCUUCCUCUCUCCCUUCCUCUCCUUCUCCCUCUCCAUCCAGUUCUCCUUCCUCUCUCCCUUCCUCUCCUUCUCCCUCUCCAUCCAGUCCUCCCUUCCUCUCCUUCUCCCUCUCCAUCCAGUUCUCCUUCCUCUCUCCCUUCCUCUCCUUCUCCCUGUCCAUCCAGUCCUCCCUUCCUCUCCUUCUCCCUCUCCAUCCAGUCCUCCCUUCCUCUCCUUCUCCCUCUCCAUCCAGUUCUCCUUCCUCUCUCCCUUCCUCUCCUUCUCCCUCUCCAUCCAGUCCUCCCUUCCUCUCCUUCUCCCUCUCCAUCCAGUUCUCCUUCCUCUCUCCCUUCCUCUCCUUCUCCCUCUCCAUCCAGUCCUCCCUUCCUCUCCUUCUCCCUCUCCAUCCAGUUCUCCUUCCUCUCUCCCCCUCUCCUUCUCCCUCUCCAUCCAGUUCUCCCUUCCUCUCCUUCUCCCUCUCCAUCUAGUUCUCCCUUCCUCUCUCCCCCUCUCCCUCUCCUUCUCCCUCUCCAUCCAGUUCUCCUUCCUCUCUUUCUCCCUCUCCAUUUAGUUCUCCCUUCCUCUCUCCCCCUCUCCUUCUCCCUCUCCAUAUCGCUCUCCCUUCCUCUCCUUCUCCCUCUCCAUCUAGUUCUCCCUUCCUCUCCUUCUCCCUCUCCAUAUUGCUCUCCCUUCCUCUCCUUCUCCCUCUCCAUAUCGCUCUCCCUUCCUCUCUCCCCCUCUCCUUCUCCCUCUCCAUAUCGCUCUCCCUUCCUCUCUCCCCCUCUCCUUCUCCCUGUCCUCUCUACCUCUCUCUCUCCUAACCAACCAGCAAACCAAUAAAAUGACCAGAACAUUAGCUAAGAUUUACAUUAAGUUCUAGUAAGGGUUUUAUCCAACAUUUUGAUCUUAACAUCACAAAAACAUUAAAAUUAUAUAUUUGAUAUACUGUGUAUAUACUGUGUAUAUACACUAACUGGAAACCUAAUGAGAAAUUU